rnacentral:rRNA from 1 species
AGUGAACGCUGGCGGUAGGCCUAACACAUGCGAGUCGAACGGCAGCACAGUAAGAGCUUGCUCUUACGGGUGGCGAGUGGCGGACGGGUGAGGAAUACAUCGGAAUCUACUUUUUCGUGGGGGAUAACGUAGGGAAACUUACGCUAAUACCGCAUACGACCUACGGGUGAAAGCAGGGGAUCUUCGGACCUUGCGCGAUUGAAUGAGCCGAUGUCGGAUUAGCUAGUUGGCGGGGUAAAGGCCCACCAAGGCGACGAUCCGUAGCUGGUCUGAGAGGAUGAUCAGCCACACUGGAACUGAGACACGGUCCAGACUCCUACGGGAGGCAGCAGUGGGGAAUAUUGGACAAUGGGCGCAAGCCUGAUCCAGCCAUACCGCGUGGGUGAAGAAGGCCUUCGGGUUGUAAAGCCCUUUUGUUGGGAAAGAAAUCCAGCCGGCUAAUACCUGGUUGGGAUGACGGUACCCAAAGAAUAAGCACCGGCUAACUUCGUG